GAUCAAAGUGUAGUAUCUGUUCUUAUCAGCUUAAUAUCUGGUACGGGCCCCAUAGGGGUCCAAGAUGUUAAUCUUAUUUUUGUUUUAAGGCGGAGAGCUUGAGGCUCGCCUCUCCUUCGCCGCGGGUUGUC
rnacentral:snRNA from 1 species